CAGAGCCCAGAGACUGGGUUGUGCCUCGUCCCAGCUUCCUGUCCGAGCUUCGGUGUCCCCAUCUGCCAGAGGAGGGCACAUGUCACAUGUGCCUUGGGGAAGUGCGGGCCCAGAAGAAGAUGUGCCCCGAGCUUCUGGCCAUCAUCCUGAGACGGCUCAUCACAGGGCAGCCUUAACCUCUGCAGAUGGCUCUGUCUCUGGACCAAGGGCAGGACCACAGCGCUCCAUCGGCCAUCCCUGUGUCCAGCCCCCCAGACGGAGCAGCUGGAGUCAGGAAGCAGAGGGACUGUCCACAAGAAGGCCAGGCCCCGCAGAGGGUGAGCACUUAACCCUGCACGCUGUGAGGAUUCUGCAGCCCAUCACCACCCUUCCCCUAGUCGAAGCCGAAUUCCAGAGCACGGCAGGAGGGUCAGCCUGGGCUCUGCGGCCAGGAGCCGUGUGCUGGUCAGUUCCUCCCCGUCCCCUCCGAGUCCUCGAGGGCAGCCCAGGAAGAUGAAUGCUUCUCCACGUAGUGAAAUGCACCUUGGCAGAGUACCUGGAGGGAGCUGGCAGCUGGAGAACUGGGAGCCGAGGCUCAUCUGCCUGCACAGACUGCUGCAAAUGUCCCCAAAGCCACAGUGAGCCUGGGACGGGCCGUGCUGCCUCCUGGCCCCGUGUGCCAGGGGGAUGUGCGCUACCGGGGAGAAUCGUAGGGCCACUGACUAGGGAGUCACCGUUGACCGCUGGACACUUCCUCACUGCUGCCGCUGCACUGCAGCAAGACAGGCCCCGUGCAGACCCUGUGGAGCAAGACACAAGCGGGGGACACGGGAACCCUGCAAACCAGAGCAGAACCACACCGUGCUGCAGCGCCUGCAGCUGAGGCCUCCGGCUACGGCCAUCCUGGAGCUCAGCCCGUCUGCACCUGAUCAAUGCAGAACUAACACCUGGAGCAAGCACGGGCAGCUCCGGAAAGCUCCGAGGUGCACGCAGGUGGACUUAUCAGACAGGAAGCUCACGGUGACGAUGACAAAUAGGCCGAGUCACAGGGGAGAGCGAAGACGCACAGAGGAACAGACAACGCACGCAGAGAGCCAUAAAGGCUGUCAGCAAAUCAAACCAAAUCAGAUGCUGAGGCCGGAACUCCUCUGGCAGCCACGGAGUGAACGUGGCAGGGCUAAAGACAGCCGAAGGGAGGGUGGGGGCUGGGGGACGGGCGGACAGAAACACUUCCUCGGAAGCAGAAAGAAAAAAAGCAAUGGGAAAAAGAACAGACCCUCCCAGAGCUGUGAGCAACAAGCCAUGGAACUGCCUUGUCAGAGAGAGGAGAGAGUCCAGGGAAAGGGGACGCAGCGGCCGAGAACUGUGCACAGUUAGCCACGGCGGCUACCGACCCAGGACGCCAGAGAUCACCAAGCCCGAUGGAUUAAACAAAAGAGCAAAAGAAAGAAAGAAAAGAAAAACAUAAGGACAACGCAGACACUUCACAUUACAUUUGUACAAACAAAAGAAAUCUUUCAUUGUCAAGAAAAGCCCACUUUCCCUGCAGUCUGGCAAGAAUAAAUUUACCGUAGGCUUCUCAUCCACCACGCAGGCAGGAAGAGCAGAGCAAACGCUCAGAUAUGGGAAAUCAGAAUGCACCGGUGUGAUAUUUAUAUAAUUCCAGCAGAAUUAUUUUUUAAAGGUGAAGGAUAAUAAAGACUCUCAGACAAGCUCACAGUCGGCAGACCUUCCCUUCAAGAAACGUUCAUUUCUCCGGCUGGGAAGCAGUCAGGAUAAAAAUGCAGGUGACGUAAGGAAGGAGUGCUGGGGAAGACAUAAACAUUGAAAUAAAAUCCCUUCUUCUUGACUGGCCUAAAAAUAGCCGUAACGUUUAUAAUUAUCAUGAUAGUGUGUUCUGCUGUCAUGGUAUCCUCAGCCGUGGUUUUCAGUUUCUGUCACCCGUGGCCAACCACAGCCAGAAAUAGCCAGUGGAAAGUUCCAGACGUAAACAGCGGGUGGGUGCCGAGCCCCAUGCUCCUCUGAGAGGUGCUGGUGGUCUGCACAGGGUCCUGCGGUCUCCUGCCUGGCACCCAGGCCACCCUGUCUAGCGUCCACGGGGGCUGUGCACGCUUACAGCUUGGUUCUGAAGGAUCCCGUCGGUGCCUGCGCUCUGGCGACCCUCGGCAGGAGCUGUGGCCGCUCCCUGCCCACGCUGUCCACUCUCUUCCCUCUUCUAUAGGCCCCGCCUGUCUCAGCAGCAUAAGGAAAGCCGUCAGUGGAGGACGGUACGAUGCCCCUGGAGAGAAGCGCCCGGCCCACGCGGCUUGUGUGACGGCGCUGUGGUUCUGCUUGGUUAUUCAUAGUGGUUACUGUGGUUAUUCAUAGUGGUGACUGCUAAUCGUUUGCUGUGGCUGGUUGAAAAUUUUCCCCACACGUGUGUAUGUAUAGAAAUAAGCACCGUCCACCAGGGUCUGUGCUUCUCACAGUUCUGAGCGGCCACUGGAGGUGGACAAGAGGACCAUAGUGUCCGUUGGAUGGGCACUUGAAAGGGCCAAGGGGGAGGAUCCAGGCAGGGGCCACAGGUGUCCCCAGAGCCUGAGACACACCGGAUGUUCAGGGGAGGGUUUAGGUCAGCGUCUGGGUGGGGAACUUGGGGACAAUCACCGUGUGGCUGUGUCCAGACGUCCCCCAAAGUGGGUUUGGUCAUCGGUGGGACUCUGGAGGUGGCUGGAGCCAGGGUGAAUGAUGCAAGAUCAAGAGUGAGUGUGGACCCCGGGCAGCCCCCCUGGGUGCCCUGAGGGCACACAGCUUGGCUAGAACGUGAGGGCCAGCAGGACAGCCGCUGCGGUCACUUGCUGCUUCUCCUUGCUGACCUCUGCCUUCGACCCGCCACGGCCUGUCCCCCUCCGCCGUGUGCCGCCCUGCCCUGGAGCCGGCCCACUACGGGCUAAAACCACGACAAGCCGUGAGCUCAAUAAACUGUCUGCCCUUUAGCUGUGGGUGCUGGGCAUUUUGUCUCAGCAACGAGAAAAGGAGGCAAUACAACCACUAAGCUAAAACCUCGUUAAAAGUACACACUGGAGUCUAGGUCAACCGGCCUGAAUUCUAACAUUAAAGAACUUAGUCCAGUUCUAAAGAGCUACACAGAGGCCGUAAGACAGCCCACACGCGUAGGUUUACACUGCAAACCCACAGUUCGGGACUGCCAGAUGGGCUCAUCAAAAUCCCAGCAGAUGUCCCGCAAGAUGCACGCAGACCUGGACGGGGACUGUGCGGAAGGACGGAAGGCCCAGCAGCACGGAGUCUGCGGCUUCUCCUUCCUGCCUCAGGCGUCAUGACGAAGCCACUAUCAUGCCCGUGCACAGGAGGGGAAGGACCAGGGCCCGGGGGAGAAGCCAGCCGUACCAGGCAGAGGGCAAAGGCUGCUCAGCAGGAGACCUCGGGCUGGUGCCAUUGCAUCGGGGUGUCCUCACUGAACCCCACUCAACUCUAAGACAACCACGAGCUUGAAGUUCAAGCUAAAACGACUGUGUGGUGGAAAAAAAAUCUUUGGGAAGAUUUAGCCAUGACAGCGAAGGUACAGCUGAUGGAGGACAAGACGAUGAACCGGUAGACCCCUCAAAGAAGUGAGUUCUGUGCAAGGCUCUGUCGAGAAAGUAAAAAGCCGACUCAGAGCGGGGGAAAUAGUGGCAAACACACGCGUCCUAAAGGAAGAACCUGGAACAUGCAUGCUGCACACACGCACACACAUGCACACACGCACAGACAGCCACAUGCCGAAGGACCACGGGAGCCUACUAAGAAAGCUCCCUAUGGCCAGUGCUGAGUUGACCUAACAAGGGGCACUGCCCAGUGACCCACAGGACAAACCCCGUGAGUCUGCAGGGACGGAGGUAAAGCAUGGAGCGGGGAACAGCACCCUGGGGGAGCCCCGGUGACCUCCGCAGACCCCCCACAGACAGCGGGGAGAAGGAAGAACGGGGUGGCUCUGGCUUCGGCCAGGGGCACAUUCAUUGUGACCAAUGUGACAUUGUGCACGGAGGAAACCGACGUGGGUUAUAUGGAGACACUCUCACAAUGUUUCUGUACAUCUAAAGUGUUUUAAAACAGAAAACAGAAGUUUAUUUUUAAAAGGAAGAGGCUUGGAGACCACGGCGCGGGCUCCGGCUGUGGGUGGCGGGAAGUCUCCCUGAAGACAGCGUGUCCUGAAGGGACGGGACGGACACGUGGCCUCCGCCUGGUGAGCAGACACCAGCCCUGACCUGCUGGUAGAAGAGGCGGUGAACCCUCCGCCGCUCCCUCCUGCUCUGGAUUCACCAGCUGGCACGCACGGAGGUCAGGCCGCAGUGACCGCCCCAGCGGUGCUUUUAAGGGGACAGCUGAACUGCAUUUGGAAAAUGCAGCGGAGAGAGCCAUGCUGCUCCUCGGUCCACACAGCGCCAAGGCAGAGGCAGGGAAGGCAGGUCAGCCACCGCCAGGACCUCGGCCACACUGUCCACCUCCCGGGCUUCUCCUUGGUCCUUCCACGGUGCUGGAAAGGCUGACGGUGACCGCUUAGCUGCCAGAGGCCCGGGAGGCUGUCCUGCUCCCCAAAGUAAGGUCACAAAUAGUAAAAAGGAACGGCACCGAGAGACUCUCAAACACAGGCACACAGAAGAAGAGGAAACGCGCCAGGCUUCCUGUGGAAGCAGGAGACCCACACGGUGUGGAGUCCUCACUGGGGACACCUGUGCCACCUGAGGGAGGGCUGCCGGGCUGAGGGUGCUGGGUGCCGGGUUGGCAGCCACGGCAGGCUAAAUCCCCCGGCAUGGCUGAGAUUGGGGGCUGGAGAGCCGACCCCAUGAAAAUAUUAAGGGGCAGCGAUCACUUAAGAUGGAGAAGGAUCUGUACCCCAAUGGCUCACGUCCAGGGCUGGGCGGCCACGGGUUCCACCCUGCAGCCGACGAAGCAUCGGCUUCUGGAGAGUUCCCUGCAAUGGCUCAGGACCUCAGGGGACAAACUAUUUUUUUGUUGUUCUUUUUUUUUGGGGGGGGGGUCUUGCUACAGUUCAGGCUGGCCUUGAGCUCACUUUGUAGCCCAGGCUGGUCUCGAAUUUGCAGCAAUCCUCAUGUCUCAGCCUCCUGAGUGCUGGGAUCACAGGCGUGAGCCACCAUGCCCGGCUUCAAGGGGACAAACUAUUAAAAGUGAGCACCACUAAGGGAGGGUGGGUGCGAGGACAGGACAGCUUCAGAGAAAGGGCAACAUGGAAAGCAUCCUUCAGAGCAGAAGCGAGCCCGCCGUGGGAAGGUGUAGAACACUGACCAGCCCACCCUGCCGGCACUGCCCAGGCCGAGGGGAAUCGAGGCAGCCUCGGGCGCACGGCUGCACAGACGGAGGCCCAGGCAUCAGAGGUGUUGGAGAAGCAAUGGAGAAGGAAAAACACGACCCAGGAGCAAAGGGCAGAUGCCAACGGCUACAGCACAGCACGCAGACCACGGAGGCUGAGAACAGACAGCGGUGUCUGCCGAGGGCAGCGCGUGUCGGUCACACUGAGCCCCAAGGGCGUCCUCACAGCAGCCCUCAAGGACCCCGCCUCCAGAUGUCCAGGUCGGGCCGGGAACCGGUCAGGCCGGGCCUGCACAGCCCAGGGCAGAGGGAGGAGCAGGCCACACCCAGCCCCUCCUCUGUGGUCACAGGUGACAGUGGACAGCAGUGGAGCCCCCAGGCCUGACACCCACUGUGCCAGCUAAGAAGUCACCCAGAACAACCGCCCUCCCCUGCUACAUCCUGGGGCGAAAGUGGAAGAGCAGAGGAUGUGGGGAGCCUGUGCCCACUUGCUGGGCAGCAGCUGCCCAGGCGGAAGCCGGUGCCACGAGGACAGAGUCCCACGGCAGACGGAGCGGGCCCAGCAGCCACUCUGAGCCACAACUUGGUGAAGGGCUUCAAGACUCAGGGAAGUAUUUACAACCUGAGAUUUUAUCCUGGAAAACAUUCAAUCUGAGUAAAGAAUCCCAGUACAAAGACAUCAACACCCACACGAGGGAAGACAUCCCAGGACACACACAGCACACACGAAUGUGAAUCAAGCGUACUACACGCCACGAGCGCGUCCACACAGGAGGGAAUGUGUCACGCGCUGUGAGCACCUAACACUGACGUACGACAGCAGCACAGAAAGAGAGUCACCUGGAGGUGUGCGGGGCCGGAGGGCCCAGGUCGGCUCAGUCCCGAGCGGUGAGGGAGCCGAGGAGGACGAGCGGGCUCCUGCCUUGUGCGAGGCUGGGAGCCGGUCAGCCUGUGGAGCGUCACCACUGGCUCUCAGCAUCUCGGGCAGAGAACUGAGCGGGGCUCAGACAGAGCAGCCGCAGCAGGUUUACGGGAGGAGCCAGGAGAGGAAGAGAGGAGCCCCCUGCGGGGCGCAAGCACUGGGCCUCUAGGAUCCUGGGGCCACUGGGGACAAGGGACAGGGGUCCUGACCUCCACCAGGACGGGGCACCUCUGACCACCCCAGGUCUCACAGGAAGUGUGGCGGCGUCCUGACCCCGGAGUGGUCAAAGCCACGAUGCAGAUGAGGCUGGACACGGGUCCAGGUGCUGGACUUGGGGGUUUGCCUGUCUCGGGAGGACCCUGCGUGACCAACAGCAGUGGCCGUGCAGUGACCAGCCUGGGAGGCCGUGGCCUGGGGACCUACAUGUCUCCCCGCUCCCUCCUGAGCCUGCUGCUUGCCCUGCGGUCCAGGGCUUCCACUCGGGGGGCAGAGCUAAGCAGUCUGCUUUGCAGCAAGGGCCGUGCGGGCCUCUGUGAGGGACGCCGCCGGCCCACGGCUUCGGCAGGGUGUGGAGACACGUUUUAUUUCACAGCACUGAGUUUUUAUUUCAUAAAAUCACAACAUGUUUUCCCCACUGAGCGCGUUCAUCACCUUUCCCGAGCCAUAAACCACUUUAAGCUCA